AUGAAACAUCAUAUGGUGGUCUACUUCUUUGUACUACAUACAUCCCUCUUCUGUUAUCUUGUCUUGCAAAGAUCACUCAAUCAUGGCUUCUAUUCUAACAUAUAUAUAAAGUAUAGCAGCUAGCAUUAUUGCCCAUGUUGCUGCUAUGUAAGUUUCUCGGCGAUGGCAAUCCAAGUACAGAGAGGAUGACCAGCAUCGAAAUGUGCUACUGAUGUUUCUAUGUCGGCCGUCGAAUGAUCCACGGUAUGGAAGAGCUGAU
rnacentral:lncRNA from 1 species